UACGUAGGGUGCAAGCGUUGUCCGGAAUUAUUGGGCGUAAAGAGCUCGUAGGCGGUCUGUCGCGUCGGCUGUGAAAACCCAGGGCUCAACCCUGGGCCUGCAGUCGAUACGGGCAGACUAGAGUCCGGCAGGGGAGACUGGAAUUCCUGGUGUAGCGGUGAAAUGCGCAGAUAUCAGGAGGAACACCGGUGGCGAAGGCGGAUCUCUGGGCCGUAACUGACGCUGAGGAGCGAAAGCAUGGGUAGCGAACAGG
rnacentral:rRNA from 1 species